ensembl:lncRNA
UUUCUUUCUGGAGAUCUCUCCCUGAUGAAGCUUUUCCCUGUAAACCUGGAAUCUUUAGAUACAGUUCCAAAAGGAGUUCCCUGUUCAGCCUCGAAGGCUGCUACACCAAAGCCUGAAUGAUCUCAAAUGACGGAAACAGAAUGAAUUCCAGAAGAGAUUAAGGCUGCAGAAACACAAGGAGUAGUGAUAUCUGAAGUGCUGGACUGGCUUGAGAUAGCAAGGCUGAUGCUUUGAGAUGCAUGUAUUUCAGAAAAUGAGGUUUUUCAAAUGAUGGCCUGUUGUAACUGAAAGCCAGGAUUUUCACUAUGGAUGUUUCUGAGAAACUGAAAAGAAGAGGAAAGGAAAAAAAUCCUCUGAAAUGCUUUAUGAAGGGUCAAAGAAGAGUGUCUAAAAGAAAAGCAACCAGUAAAGAGUGCUUUAAGUGCUUCUGAAAGCUUCACAGGAGAGUGUCCCACUGAUAAAAAUGCACGGUGAAUUCUCAGAGCUGGAGCUGAAGAAGCCCAGUCUGCAAUGCAUGCUUUGACCUCACUUCAAUAAGGAUUAGCAGAGAUUUUUUUGGAAUUGUUCUCUCAAGCCAUUAAAAUCCACAAAUCUUCCUAAGUAUAGCAAAAUUAGCCCCAAAAUAGCUUCUGGCAAUAAUCACAGAUGAGCGUUUUGGAUGACAGCAAUGCCAGCCUUAGGUGGAGCCAACCAAUGUUAGACAGCUUGUUCACCACCACGUGGUUUGUGUCCUAUAAAGUCCUCUGCAAGAACACCCUCCCGAAAGCUGGGGGAUCAGAACUACUUUGUAAGAAAAAAAGUUGGCUGCUCCAUAAGGUUCAAACAGAGGAAUAUAAUAAAGCAAAGGAUAACGUAAAGAAAAUGCUGACUUGGCAAUAAUGUGGCUGUUAGCGCUCCAUCUCCACGACGUGGACCCUUCUGCUUUGGCACAGGGAAUUACAGCCUGAUUCUGAACUCCAUGUCAAGCAAUUCUCCUCUCUGUGACAGAGCAUUUUCAAUGCAUUGAGCACAUUCAGCAAGCCAGGGCUGGAAUAAAAAGUGUGUUUGCAAAGAACAUUCAGCUGAAUCCUCAAUAUUUAAUACUGAGGUUAAAGUUAGCCUCUGAUUUUAAGGCUUCUUGAUGAUGUGGGUACUUAACCUCUACGUUUUCAUUCUGUGAGCUGUGUACAGGAAGGGCUGAGGAAAAGCUUCAUAUUGCUGCCUUAUUAUUUUGAUAUUCCUCCAUCCAUUCUUACAGCUGUUACUAUGCAGGGGAGUCCUCAGGGAAGACAUCAUGAGUGGUGAUUUCCUUUCCCUCUACAAGCUGGUUUCUGAACUCACAUUAUCAAAUGCCAACUGAGCUCUGGUUGCUAUACAUUAUCACUCAAAGUUUGUGAGGGAAAAGGUUUCUAACAGUUAUUUCUAUCUGGGCAUACAGCAGCUUCUGGAUAGACUGACUAUAUUCCUAGAGCUUGGGGGGUGGGCUUGAAAACACAUUUCAAUAUCAACCCCAACUUUGGUCCGUCAGACUUUCAGACUGCUUCUCACGACUGCCUUUUCCUCCACCUCCACAGAUCCUCCUCCUCUCCUCAAUUCCCUUCCCACUUUUGCCUUCACCAUCACACCGCCUUCCCACCUGAAUGGUAAUUUCCCUCUUGUGUUGGCUCAUCCCUAGUCUUUUUUUAGAGCUGCAAGAGAAGAAGGAGUAGAGCAACACCAAUCAGGCCCACGAGUUCUUCAAGGAUUAUCAUUCAGCGUGGUAAAAAAAAGCUUCUAAUUAAACAUUUGUAUGCAAUUUCCCUCCUAUUGUAACAUUUCCUCAGAACUUUUCCAGCUUAAAAUAAACUAUCUGGUG